rnacentral:rRNA from 1 species
AUUGAACGCUGGCGGCAGGCCUAACACAUGCAAGUCGAGCGGAUGAAGGGAGCUUGCUCCUGGAUUCAGCGGCGGACGGGUGAGUAAUGCCUAGGAAUCUGCCUGGUAGUGGGGGAUAACGUCCGGAAACGGGCGCUAAUACCGCAUACGUCCUGAGGGAGAAAGUGGGGGAUCUUCGGACCUCACGCUAUCAGAUGAGCCUAGGUCGGAUUAGCUAGUUGGUGGGGUAAAGGCCUACCAAGGCGACGAUCCGUAACUGGUCUGAGAGGAUGAUCAGUCACACUGGAACUGAGACACGGUCCAGACUCCUACGGGAGGCAGCAGUGGGGAAUAUUGGACAAUGGGCGAAAGCCUGAUCCGGCCAUGCCGCGUGUGUGAAGAAGGUCUUCGGAUUGUAAAGCACUUUAAGUUGGGGGGAAGGGCAGUAAGUUAAUACCUUGCUGUUUUGACGUUACCAACAGAAUAAGCACCGGCUAACUUCGUG